rnacentral:rRNA from 1 species
CAGUGGCUCGAGGACGAACGCUGGCGGCGUGCCUAACACAUGCAAGUCGAACGGGGUUAUUAUGGAAGAUCCUUCGGGGUUGGAAGUAUUAACUUAGUGGCGAACGGGUGAGUAACGCGUGAGGAACCUGCCUUUCAGUGGGGGGACAACAGUUGGAAACGACUGCUAAUACCGCAUAACAUGGAAAGACCGCAUGACUCUUGUACCAAAGGAGCAAUCCGCUGAAAGAUGAGCUCGCGUCUGAUUAGCUAGUUGGUGAGGUAACAGCCCACCAAGGCGACGAUCAGUAGCCGACCUGAGAGGGUGAUCGGCCACAUUGGGACUGAGACACGGCCCAAACUCCUACGGGAGGCAGCAGUGGGGAAUAUUGCACAAUGGGGGAAACCCUGAUGCAGCAACGCCGCGUGAAGGAUGAAGGUUUUCGGAUCGUAAACUUCUAUCAACAGGGAAGAAACAAAUGACGGUACCUGAAUAAGAAGCCCCGGCUAACUACGUG